GAUGAAGAACGCAGCGAAAUGCGAUAAGUAAUGUGAAUUGCAGAAUUCAGUGAAUCAUUGAAUCUUUGAACGCACAUUGCGCCCGCCAGUAUUCUGGCGAGCAUGCCUGUUCGAGCGUCAUUUCAACCAUCAAGCCCCAGGCUUGUGUUGGAGCCCUGCGGCUGCCGCAGCCUCCCAAAACCAGUGGCGGGCUCGCUAUCACACCGAGUGCAGUAGUUUACUCUUCGCUCAGGGCGUGUGGCGGGUGCUAGCCGUGAAACCCCCAACUUCUCAAGGUUGACCUCGGAUCAGGUAGGAAUACCCGCUGAACUUAAGCAUAUCAAUAAGCGGAGGA
rnacentral:misc_RNA from 1 species